CGGGUGAGUAACGCGUGAGUAACCUGCCCUAGAGUGGGGGACAACAGUUGGAAACGACUGCUAAUACCGCAUAAGCCCACGGUACCGCAUGGUACUGAGGGAAAAGGAUUUAUUCGCUUUAGGAUGGACUCGCGUCCAAUUAGCUAGUUGGUGAGGUAACGGCCCACCAAGGCGACGAUUGGUAGCCGGACUGAGAGGUUGAACGGCCACAUUGGGACUGAGACACGGCCCAGACUCCUACGGGAGGCAGCAGUGGGGGAUAUUGCACAAUGGGGGAAACCCUGAUGCAGCGACGCCGCGUGGAGGAAGAAGGUUUUCGGAUUGUAAACUCCUGUCGUUAGGGACGAUAAUGACGGUACCUAACAAGAAAGCACCGGCUAACUACGUGCCAGCAGCCGCGGUAAAACGUAGGGUGCAAGCGUUGUCCGGAAUUACUGGGUGUAAAGGGAGCGCAGGCGGGAAGACAAGUUGGAAGUGAAAACCAUGGGCUCAACCCAUGAAUUGCUUUCAAAACUGUUUUUCUUGAGUAGUGCAGAGGUAGAUGGAAUUCCCGGUGUAGCGGUGGAAUGCGUAGAUAUCGGGAGGAACACCAGUGGCGAAGGCGGUCUACUGGGCACCAACUGACGCUGAGGCUCGAAAGCAUGGGUAGCAAACAGGAUUAGAUACCCUGGUAGUCCAUGCCGUAAACGAUGAUUACUAGGUGUUGGGGGAUUGACCCCCUCAGUGCCGCAGUUAACACAAUAAGUAAUCCACCUGGGGAGUACGACCGCAAGGUUGAAACUCAAAGGAAUUGACGGGGGGCCCGCACAAGCAGUGGAGUAUGUGGUUUUAAUUCCGAAGCACCGCGAAGAAACCUUACCAGGUCUUGACAUCCGAUGCAUAGCACA
rnacentral:rRNA from 1 species